rnacentral:rRNA from 1 species
AUUGAACGCUGGCGGAAUGCUUUACACAUGCAAGUCGAACGGCAGCACGGGGGCAGCCCUGGUGGCGAGUGGCGAACGGGUGAGUAAUACAUCGGAACGUGCCCGGUCGUGGGGGAUAACGUAGCGAAAGUUACGCUAAUACCGCAUACGAUCUGAGGAUGAAAGCGGGGGACCUUCGGGCCUCGCGCGAUCGGAGCGGCCGAUGUCAGAUUAGGUAGUUGGUGGGGUAAAGGCCUACCAAGCCGACGAUCUGUAGCUGGUCUGAGAGGACGACCAGCCACACUGGGACUGAGACACGGCCCAGACUACUACGGGAGGCAGCAGUGGGGAAUUUUGGACAAUGGGCGCAAGCCUGAUCCAGCCAUUCCGCGUGCAGGACGAAGGCCUUCGGGUUGUAAACUGCUUUUGUACGGAACGAAAAGGCUCUGGCUAAUACCUGGGGCUCAUGACGGUACCGUAAGAAUAAGCACCGGCUAACUACGUG